AGUGAACGCUGGCGGUAGGCCUAACACAUGCAAGUCGAACGGCAGCACAGUAAGAGCUUGCUCUUACGGGUGGCGAGUGGCGGACGGGUGAGGAAUACAUCGGAAUCUACUUUUUCGUGGGGGAUAACGUAGGGAAACUUACGCUAAUACCGCAUACGACCUACGGGUGAAAGCAGGGGAUCUUCGGACCUUGCGCGAUUGAAUGAGCCGAUGUCGGAUUAGCUAGUUGGCGGGGUAAAGGCCCACCAAGGCGACGAUCCGUAGCUGGUCUGAGAGGAUGAUCAGCCACACUGGAACUGAGACAAGGUCCAGACUCCUACGGGAGGCAGCAGUGGGGAAUAUUGGACAAUGGGCGCAAGCCUGAUCCAGCCAUACCGCGUGGGUGAAGAAGGCCUUCGGGGUGUAAAGCACUUUUGUUGGGAAAGAAAAGCAGCAGGUUAAUACCCCGCUGUUCUGACGGUACCCAAAGAAUAAGCACCGGCUAACUUCGU
rnacentral:rRNA from 1 species